CAUACUUGUAACAGCAUGAAAGGAAGCAUUUGGUCUUCCUUUGCUGGCAGUGGAAGUUGUCCUUGCAGCUGUUCAGUAAAAGCAAAUUGUGUUCCAGGCUUCCAGCAAAUGGAUCUUCCAUUUUUCUUUAAUUUAUAUAUAUGAUUAGUUUUCCCUUCAUGUCUAUUUUAUAUGAUUAAUUUUCUCCAAAUUUAAUACAAAUCAAUAUUAUAAUGUGGACAAGUAUGUGUUAUCAUUCUAAAAGGUUUUGAACGGCGGCGAGAGUAUAGAAAAUUAUAAUAUCAAGAAAAAAUCAAAACCUUAUUACGAGGACAGUAUAGGAGACACCCCAUUUUAGUUAUGGUGUGAUUGAUUGUUAGCCACCAGAUUAAAAAAAUAGAUGGACAAGAUUUGGUGUCAACAAAUUCGUUGACACUUGGUGUCAACGGAUCCUGACUCAUAUAUAUAUAUAUAUAUAUAUAUAUAUAUAUAUAUAUAUCCUAUAUUUGUUUCCCCAUGUCCGUCCCUUAGUGCAAUAUAUGCCACGACUGGCAAUGAACAAGCAAUAAUGCCUAGAAACACAAUGUUUGCAUAACCUAAAAUUUCAUCCAAAGAACAACUAGAAUUUUCAUAUGGUUGUGAACUUGAAUUUUUUGAUCUGUUUAAGACAUCAAAUUGUUACUUUCCGCGAUUUAACUUCCUGAGGAAACAAGGACUGUACUGCAUCCCAAAGAGCUACGUUCACACAGCAGGAUAAACCAUUACUGAAAAAAAAAACCCACAACUAAGUGAAAAGACAACAAGAAGACAAUCAUUGAAAAUAUGUUAUUUUGAAUAUUUGAUUUUUGAAAAUAAAUAAAUUUUUGGUCCUAUAAAUAUCUCGAAUUUUGUUUCCGGUCUUUAUAAGAAAUUUCAGCAAUUUUUGGUCGCUUGUCUUGAGUAAAAAAAACACAAAAGAGUUGUGUCAUAACUUUUGGUCCUACUUUU
rnacentral:lncRNA from 1 species